GACGAACGCUGGCGGCGUGCUUAACACAUGCAAGUCGAACGGAGCGAAUGAAAGCUUGCUUUUAUGAGCUUAGUGGCAAACGGGUGAGUAACACGUAGACAACCUGCCGACAGGAUGGGGACAACAUUCCGAAAGGAAUGCUAAUACCGAAUGAAGUCGAGGGAAGGCAUCUUCCUUCGAUGAAAGAUGGCCUCUGAAAAUGCUAUCACCUGUCGAUGGGUCUGCGUCUGAUUAGCUGGUUGGUGAGGUAACGGCUCACCAAGGCGACGAUCAGUAGCCGGUCUGAGAGGAUGAACGGCCACAUUGGGACUGAGACACGGCCCAGACUCCUACGGGAGGCAGCAGUGGGGAAUCUUCCGCAAUGGGCGCAAGCCUGACGGAGCAACGCCGCGUGAGUGAAGAAGGUCUUCGGACCGUAAAGCUCUGUUGACGGGGACGAACGUGCGAAGGGUGAAUAAUCCUUUGCAAUGACGGUACCUGU
rnacentral:rRNA from 1 species